AACGAACGCUGGCGGCAGGCCUAACACAUGCAAGUCGAACGCCGUAGCAAUACGGAGUGGCAGACGGGUGAGUAACACGUGGGAACGUACCCUUCGGUUCGGGGUAACUCAGGGAAACUUGAGCUAAUACCGGAUACGUCCGAGAGGAGAAAGAUUUAUCGCCGAGGGAUCGGCCCGCGUCUGAUUAGCUUGUUGGUGAGGUAACGGCUCACCAAGGCGACGAUCAGUAGCUGGUCGAGAGGAUGAUCAGCCACAUUGGGACUGAGACACGGCCCAAACUCCUACGGGAGGCAGCAGUGGGGAAUAUUGGACAAUGGGCGCAAGCCUGAUCCAGCCAUGCCGCGUGAGUGAUGAAGGUCUUCGGAUUGUAAAGCUCUUUCGACGGGGACGAUGAUGACGGUACCCGUAGAAGAAGCCCCGGCUAACUUCGUGCCAGCAGCCGCUGUAAC
rnacentral:rRNA from 1 species